rfam:Otolemur garnettii contig073076, whole genome shotgun sequence.
CAUAAAGAACAUAAUGUUCCCUGAACGCACCUGGUCUCUGCUGAUCUCGGAGCUAAAUGGGAUCAGGCCUGGUUAGUACUUGCAUGGGAGACUGCCUGGGAAUACUAGGUGCUGAAAGC